rnacentral:rRNA from 1 species
GAUGAACGCUAGCGGGAGGCCUAACACAUGCAAGCCGAGCGGUAUUGUUUCUUCGGAAAUGAGAGAGCGGCGUACGGGUGCGUAACACGUGUGCAACCUGCCUUUAUCUGGGGGAUAGCCUUUCGAAAGGAAGAUUAAUACUCCAUAAUAUAUUGAACGGCAUCGUUUAAUAUUGAAAGCUCCGGCGGAUAGAGAUGGGCACGCGCAAGAUUAGCUAGUUGGUGAGGUAACGGCUUACCAAGGCGAUGAUCUUUAGGGGGCCUGAGAGGGUGAUCCCCCACACUGGUACUGAGACACGGACCAGACUCCUACGGGAGGCAGCAGUGAGGAAUAUUAGUCAAUGGGUGCAAGCCUGAACCAGCCAUCCCGCGUGAAGGACGACUGCCCUAUGGGUUGUAAACUUCUUUUGUAUAGGGAUAAACCUACCCUCGAGAGGGUAGCUGAAGGUACUAUACGAAUAAGCACCGGCUAACUCCGU